GUCCCGCGGCGGCGCGGCGACGGUGGCCGUUUCGACGGAGGCGGCGGUGGCGCCGCAUCCGGUCUCCUCGCCGGCCGUCGCGUCGGCCGAUUGGUCGGUGCAAGGCGACGGUCUUCGUGGGGGGUGGUUGGGGGUGGGGUUUCCUCGGGGGGAGGGGGAUCGGAGGUCUCCUGCUCUCCUUCCGCCGCCAUCGUGGUGGAGCGCGAACCAGGUCUUUUGCAUGGUGAAAUAACCCCUUCCAUGGUUAAAUUGUACUCUCAAGAAUGUUAAACUUGGGUCAAGGAGGCUAACAAGUUUGAUCCCCAGAAGAUAUGAACUAUGGUGAUGGUGUGUUGACUGCUUAUUAUUUACUAACUAGACGUCCUUCAAGAAAUCACAACAUCCCUCACAUGUUAGGUUCAUAUGUUGCAUGAUAAUGGACAUGUUUUAAGAAGAUCAUUUCUAUAUGCAUGGAAUCUUCGAUUUGGAUGGAUGCUACCAUAAGCUAUCAUUAAGGAGUGGAUUUCAGGCUGUACUAAAUGUUCAGUCUACUUUGGCUACUUAGAUCCACAACAGACCAAAUUAAUGACUCCAGAAUGAACUUUUACAGUGGCCAAAGAAUUUUAAUUGAUUUGCAUACCAGGGAUUCAGGCUGAGAAAUUUCUGGACUGUUAGACUUGUGCAUUUCUGGGGCUGAAUUCCUGAAGGGUAGGCAUAAGAUUCUGAAGCAGGUGAUGUCCUGCUGCAUGGCAUCAGAUUCAACGCGGCCUGCUCAUGUAUGGAAGAAUGUUGGAAUUGGUGUAAGCAUCGGAGCAGUGCUGUCAGUGAACCUGACAUGGAUGGAUGUAUGACAGAUAAUAAAAUCUUCUCUGGGCCAAUUAUCUACGGACACAUCAGUUAAAGUCUGCAUCGGUGUUGCAGGCUUGCACCUGCAUAACAAGUAGUAACAGGUUGAUGCCUACAUGGUCCACAAACCUGAAUACCUGAUGGCACUUACUGAGGAAAGCUGAUUGAGUCCACUACUUCAUCUUCGUAGAUAUACAAUGCUACUCAACCACGAGGAAAGAACAGUUCGGUCCUGAUUAAGGUAGCUGAGUUGAGCAGCAACUAGCUUGGCUGCAAGAAUCAGGCAUCUCACGGUGGGAAGUAUAGGCAUAUCCACAAGUUAUUGGGAAAUUUUUUUAUAUGCAUAUAACAGUGUAUAGUGGCUAGAGAAAAGCAUAUCUGAGGAGCAACUUGUGGGCUUAUGGGUGCAGGAAAGGUGCCCAGGAAUUGCUAGUCCCGCAAAUUAUUGGAAGAUAAUAUUCCUAUCGGAAAUGCAUUAUUCGGCUGGCAUCUCUUGGACAUUUAGGAGCAUGUGCAACAGUGCAAGCGGCGGCUUCGAAUGUGGAGGUUUUGUAAGGACAUCAAAUCUUUCCUCCAUUGACAUACAAGACGGAAUGGAGUUCAUAUCAAAUAUGUGGCUCCUGUUUGGGUUCAAUUAUUCGGUGGGACAUAUUAGCUUCCCUGGUUAAGCCUGAGCAAUUUGGACCAGCAACAUAUGUGGCUUGUCAUUCUUCAGGCUGAGUUUGUUCCUUUUUUAUUCACGAAAUGCAAUAUGUUCCCAUUUCUAAAACGAGAUGAACUUUUGUAGACCGCUUGCUGCUAGACCUUUCAAAUUAUUUUGUACUGACUUGUCAUGUUGGACCUAGUAGUCUAGCAAUGAAGAAAGGUAUUAUGUUUCCCUUUGCCAGGUUUUGUACUCUAUAAUUUUGAGCGUGAUUCGGAAGCAUAGGUUUUCUUCAUAUAAUGCACGUUCAUAAACUUGUAA